UCCACGUAUUUGCAAACAUUGGUGUAGACCCCUGGGAUGCCUUCUUGUCCGCAAGGCCCCACGGAUCCCCAGGACACCAGACCCUGAAGGACCCCGCCACACACCAGGGGACCCCCGGAAUCACCCUGGAAGACAAGAGGUUAAGGAGCAUGGUAUGAACAUGGGGAAACCCUGUUCCAGUUUGCCUCCUGCCCCCUCACCCAUGUCUUGGGCCUUGAGGACGGUGGCUCCAAGACUUGUCAUCAGAGAAAACAAGCAUAGCCACGUUCCCAGAGGACAACAGUGACUAGAGAAGAACACGUUGUCCCUAGGAGCCAAUCCCAGGGAAGGAGGGCGGGCCUCUAUGCCAGGGCAGAGGGUUCUCUCAAAGACAAUGGCUGAGCCCUGACCAAUGAAGGAAGAGAGUACGGGCACCAAUGACCAAUCCCAGUGGGGGAGGGCGGGACUCCAUGCGGGCUCAAGGAACAUGGCUGGGGCCCUGACCAAUGAGGGAAGAGGACACCGGUACCAGUGACCAAUGGUAGAGAAAGAGGACUGGACAUCUCAAGAGUCCUCUCCAGGGCUCUGGCUGAGGCCCUGGCCAGUAGGGAGGGGCAGUCUUCUAGCUGGAGGACCAACAGGACAAACUAGCCGGAUUGAGAUGAGAGAGCCCUCCAGCCCCUCUCUCCUGCUCCAUCCAGGAAUCGUUCUCACCUGGGCCAGCACCAACAGGAGGAUGGAUGGUGGCAUUGGAGACGAUGGAGAGGCUGAGGCACUGGAGUCGGUCUGGGAACGGGCCUGGAGAUGGAAGAUGGAUGCUGGAGGAUCCCCCAGUGCUUCCCUCAUCCCGCCACCACCCCCCCCACUCCCAAAGAGGCCUCACGGAAGCCCGAUACAAGUUUAUCCUCCACCCCCUCCCUGUGACCUCCAAGACAAUCCUUGGGCCUUUAAAUUUCAGAUGAUUUGAUUACAUA